rnacentral:lncRNA from 1 species
GUCUUUUUUUAAUAUUGUUGUAGUGCUCAGGGGAUCCCUGGGUGGCUCAGUGGUUUGGCGCCUGCCUUUGGCCCAGGGCAUGGUCCUGGAGUCCCAGGAUCGAGUCCCUCCUCAGGCUCCCUGCAUGGAGCCUGCUUCUCCCUCUGCCUGUGUCUCUGCCUCUCCCUCUCUCCCUCUCUCUCUCUCUCUAUCAUGAAUACAUAAAUAAAAAUCUUUAAAAAAAAUAUUGUUGUAGUGCCCAAACUAGUUCUUGUCUGUUAACUAACACACAUCAAUGAACUAGGGGGAGAAGGUAAGAAGGCAGGCAAGGGUGAGGUCAGGUGAGAUAUAAGAGUCUAUAAGUCUUCUGUGUCUUCUUUGUGGCCACAGGGACUAAGGAUCUAGAUUUCCUUUCCAACACUCGCUGUCCUUAAACACAUAUGGUUUGGCUAACAUGAAGUCUAGGCAUAUUUUUUAUGUAGUCAGGGAAUAGCCUCCUUUAAUUCAUAUGGAGCUGGAUGAAGAGGGUUUAACCAUCUGUCCUUGCAUAAUGCCAUGUAUUCAUUUAGCAGGAAUAUGGAAUGGCUAGUUUUUAAUUAGUCCUCACUGACUGGGGAGCUGUGAAGCAUGGUGGUUAAUGUUGAUAUUGUCCCUCAAGCCUUUCUUUUAUGGAUGGAUUCUUGGACUUGUUGAAAAUGUUACAUCCAUGGUUUUUAUUUUACCAUUUUCAUUUCCAGAGCACAUUUUCUAAUUUCUUUCAGAAUGAUUGGUUUCAUUUUAAAGUGUUUUGAGUCAGUUUAAUAAGAACCUAAACUAAAUUGCUCUUGUACACGAGCUGUGGAGUUUCAACUUGAUGGGGCAAUGUGUCAACUUAAAAUAAAAUGUUAGGCUUUUUGUAGAACACACAGCAUUGGUGACCUUGGCCCUCUGGAGAGAUUAGAUUUCCCCAAUUGAUACAUUUGUGCUUGGCACAGGGGGAAUGAAUGCAUUUGGAAGUGAAUUUUUCUGAUGUUUUUUGCCUGUUUAUUUGUACAUAGUCUUGCAGGCUCAGAUCUGAUUUUAUUGACAUUACAUAAGUUCCCCCAAAAGACAGAAUAACAAUGAAAAUCUUAUUUACUUGGUUAUUACUCAGAUGUCCAUGGUUUGGAAGACUUAAAUUAGAAUAGAGAUGAGAUUAUAAAAUAUCGAUUCUGGUAAGUCAUUAUUAGCAACAAUUCAGUGUUCUGGGAUUCCUGAUAGUUUGGUUUUAUAAUACAAGCCUUCCAGGUGAGAAGGCAGGAAGAAAUGAGGGCCCUCAGAUUCAUUCAAUUCGUGUAACUAAUAUUACUGUGAUCAAAAUAGACAAGAGAUAGUGGAAAACAAAACAAAACCAAAAAAGAUAUUGACUAUCCUGAGCUAAGAUUUGUUGCUAAUUUCUGCUCUGAGUUCCCCAAAUAUAUUUUUCAUUAUGUGCAUCUCUAUGUUUGCAUAAAGCUAAUGAACGGACUUCAUGGUGAGCAGAAGAAAAAACAAGUAAGUUAGAGAUUUGGGGGGAUCACAAGACAUUGUGAAAAUUAUUAUGAGAUGAAGGAAAGCCAUCUUUACCCCCCGUAUGUGUUCAGGCAAUGAGCAGAAGUGAUGGGUGCAGUGAAGGCAGAAGCAGAUGUAACAGAAGUAUAAUGGAUAGCUAUUUACAAAUGUCUUCCAUUUAUAAAUUAGUUUGACAUCAGACAUGCAUGAUAUGACUUGCUAAAUAAAGAUAUAGUGUCUUCUAUGAGAAUCAGAUAAAAUCAUCUCAAAUAAAAAUAUGAGAUGCAUAUUAACAUAUAACUUUUAAUAUAAAUGCAUAAACAGGAAUAGAAGUUAAAUUGGACACUGAAUUAAUAAAAUAUGUAGGUACCAUGGUGUAAAAAAGAGACAACAUAAUACAGUGGAAAAGAUACUAGGUUUAAAGUCUGUUAAUCUGGGUCCAACUCAAAUUCUUUCUCUAGUUAAAUUUCUAAUCUUUGACGAAAUUCUUGAAUAUAUCUGGGUCUAUGUUUCCUAGUAUUAGAAAUAUGGGUAUAAUAAUACACAUGAUAAAUAAUAAUAAUAAUGAUCAUAUUUACUAUAGAGUGCUAUUUAGAUAUAUAUUAAGUGAGGUAAUAUAUUAGAAAAUCUUGAUAUUAAUGAUCUUUAUUUUUUUUAAGAUUUUUUUAUUUAUUCAUGAGAGGCAUAGAGAGAGAGAGAGAGAGAGAGAGGCAGAGACAUAGGCAGAGGGAGAAGCAGGCUCCAUGCUGGGAACCUGACGUGGGACUCGAUCGCCAGUCUCCAAGAUCACACCCGGGUCUGAAGGCGGUGCUAAACUGCUGAGCCACCCGGGCUGCCCAAUAUUAAUGAUCUUUAAUAAAUAUCAGAUCUCUUCUUUCUCCUUCCCACUAGUUAGAAUGCAUAGCAUUUGGUAAUGGGAAUAUUCACUUUGUAAUGAAAAUGGUAUAUUGAUAAGGGUAGAACUUCAAUCAUGAUCUUGCCUAUACUAUAAUUAGAAAUCACAUCUGAGAAAAAACAAUAAAUUAUGAUGAAUCUUCUUGGUGCUAUCACUGGUUUUAGUGUAAUUGCUCAUUAAGCCUUUAAAAUUAUUAGACCUUGUUAAUUAAAAAGACUUUCCUAAAAUGAGGACGCUUAUUCAUGUCAAAUGAUUUACAGUGAGAUCCUUUCUAAUUACAGAUGUUACAGCUUCAUUUGCAUAGUUGGGAUAGUUAGCUGCAGUCAGUGUUCACGAUAACAUGAAGAGGCUCCAGCACAUCAUGAAAUGUGUUUUGGGAACCAAAAUAAAAAUUGGUAAAGAGAACACUGUUGGGAUAGUUUUGUAUUAAAUCUUAACUACAAGCAAGCUUAUUGUUGAAAGAGAACACAGGUCUCAGAAUCAAGCAUUUUUGAUUUUGUUACUGGGAGCAUUAUCUCUUCCCUCCCAGAUGGAGAGAAAGGGUGAAUAAAAAAACCAGUGUUUAGUUAAGGCAAAUGCUGUGCUAAGAACUAUGUUAAAUAAUUUUUUUUUUCAGUGUAAGAAGCAUAGCAGACAAUCUCUUACUAAUUUAUCUGAUUCUAUUAUUCAGUGAUGCUUUUAAGAGACUUUAUACUGUCAUUUAUAAUUUUUAAUGAAAAACUACCAUGGUAAAUGGGGCAGUACAUACACUGACUAUUGAGAACCUCUUAUCUACCAGGGACAAUAAAUCACAGAAUGGGAAAGGAAAUCAAACUUGGGUCAAAUAAAAAUAUUCUGUUUUAUAUAGAGAAAAUAUAAAAAGCAAAAAUAAUUUUCUAAUAUAAUAAAUGUUAAAAGCAUGCUAUUUAUCAUACUGUAUAAAAUUAUAUUUUCAGGAUAAUAUUGUAUAUCAAAAUAUAUAAAUAUCCAUUUCUUCUAUUCAAUAUGUAAUGGCCUAGAAAAAAAAUAUUUUCUACUGUAUAGAGAUGACUAAAUACCAGAAAAAGUCUAAUAAUUUUAGAAAAAUGAGAGAUUUUAUAAGGAAUAUAGAUCUGGUCUGAAUAAUUUCAAGGUAUGAAUAAUUUCAAGGUAUGAAUAAUUUCAAGGUAUGAAAAGAAUCUUAAAAGAAUGUUAAAAACAAUAAGUCAGUUCAUGAUAUACCUUCUGAUAUAUAUAUCAUACGGUGAAGGAUCUGAUAUGUGUGUAUAUAUAUAUAUAUAUAUGUAUACAGUGAAAGAUCACAGAAUCAUUUUGCAGUUUUCCUGACAAGAGUGCAUGAUCUUAAUAUAGUAAAGAAGAAAUGAUUAGACAAAUCAAUUGAGCAUCAAUUUUAAAACAACUGCCCUGUACUCUUCAAAAAUGAUCAUGUCAUGGAAAACAAGGAAAGACUGAAAAAUUAUUCUAGCAUAGAAAAUAUAUGAUAGCCUCCAUUUCUUCUCACAAAGGAGUAAAGGACUGGAUUUAAUUUCCUGUCUUAAACAAUUAGAAAACUUGACAAAAUUUAUGAACCAACCACCUUCACACAUGAAACAACAGAAAUCAUAGGAUCCUGAUUCCUGAAGGGAAACAAAUGAGUUGAGCCUGAUGACUACACUGGCUUUUUGCCCAGAGGCACAUUCCUCAACAGGUGGCAGAGAGGGACAUUCCAAGUAGUUCAUAGUGGUCUUCUGGGGUGAGAUGGGAAUCAGAGAUCAGGGAGUUUGAAGCAGCUGGAAGUUGCAGAGCAGUAUUUUGGAGAAGAAGACAUUACACAGGAAAAGAGCUCCAUAAAUCUGCAAAUGCAUUUCUAUGAAUUUUGUUGAAAAUGAAGAAAUGAGGUAAUCAGAUGAAACUCUAUGAAGCUGGAAAAUAGGGUGACUGAGAAAUUGUGAGCUGAAUGGUACAGAACUCAUGCAGGAAUGGAAAUCAUUUGAUUUUUUCAUUAGCCAGAAGAAAGAGUCCUUGUUGACUAUUGGCAGACAUUCAGUAAAGGCCUCAGAAGAGCCCUGCUUCAGUAGUGGGGUUAAUCUAUACCUAAAAUAAAGGGCACUCUAUAACCACCUUAAGAAAGCUUAAAACAGCAACAACAACAACAAAAACAAACAAAACAAAACAAAAAGCUUAAAACAUCCUUGAGCCCCUUAGUCUAAACUGCAAACAACUCUACUGCUUAUCAGAAAAGCCCAAAACGCUUUAAAUAAAAACAACACGGGCAGCCCGGGAUCAAGCCCAGCUUAGUUUAAACUAAGCUCAGCAGUUUAAACGCAGCCUUCCGCCCAGGGCCUGAUCCUGGAGACCCGGGAUCAAGUUCCAUGUCAGGCCCCCUGCCUAGAGUCUGCUUCUCCCUCUGCUGGUCUCUCUCUCUCUCUCUCUCUCUCUCUGUCUCUCAUGAAUA